UGAAGAGUUUGAUCAUGGCUCAGAUUGAACGCUGGCGGCAGGCCUAACACAUGCAAGUCGAACGGUAACAGGAAGCAGCUUGCUGCUUUGCUGACGAGUGGCGGACGGGUGAGUAAUGUCUGGGAAACUGCCUGAUGGAGGGGGAUAACUACUGGAAACGGUGGCUAAUACCGCAUAACGUCGCAAGACCAAAGAGGGGGACCUUCGGGCCUCUUGCCAUCAGAUGUGCCCAGAUGGGAUUAGCUUGUUGGUGAGGUAACGGCUCACCAAGGCGACGAUCCCUAGCUGGUCUGAGAGGAUGACCAGCCACACUGGAACUGAGACACGGUCCAGACUCCUACGGGAGGCAGCAGUGGGGAAUAUUGCACAAUGGGCGCAAGCCUGAUGCAGCCAUGCCGCGUGUAUGAAGAAGGCCUUCGGGUUGUAAAGUACUUUCAGCGGGGAGGAAGGUGUUGUGGUUAAUAACCGCAGCAAUUGACGUUACCCGCAGAAGAAGCACCGGCUAACUCCGUGCCAGCAGCCGCGGUAAUACGGAGGGUGCAAGCGUUAAUCGGAAUUACUGGGCGUAAAGCGCACGCAGGCGGUCUGUCAAGUCGGAUGUGAAAUCCCCGGGCUCAACCUGGGAACUGCAUUCGAAACUGGCAGGCUUGAGUCUUGUAGAGGGGGGUAGAAUUCCAGGUGUAGCGGUGAAAUGCGUAGAGAUCUGGAGGAAUACCGGUGGCGAAGGCGGCCCCCUGGACAAAGACUGACGCUCAGGUGCGAAAGCGUGGGGAGCAAACAGGAUUAGAUACCCUGGUAGUCCACGCCGUAAACGAUGUCUACUUGGAGGUUGUGCCCUUGAGGCGUGGCUUCCGGAGCUAACGCGUUAAGUAGACCGCCUGGGGAGUACGGCCGCAAGGUUAAAACUCAAAUGAAUUGACGGGGGCCCGCACAAGCGGUGGAGCAUGUGGUUUAAUUCGAUGCAACGCGAAGAACCUUACCUGGUCUUGACAUCCACGGAAGAAUUCAGAGAUGGAUUUGUGCCUUCGGGAACC
rnacentral:rRNA from 1 species